GCAGUAUAUGCAAUAUCAGUAUCUAAGGCACUAUUAAAACCACUGGUAAUAGAGCUACAACAUAGUUUGGAUCUGAGGAACACUAGUCAGACUGGUUGCCUCAAGUUUGUCAGAGCUUCACUGAAGUCUCCCAAUGCUUACCAGUUCAGUAUAGUUGAAGGAGGAUCUUUUUAGUGUAGGGAGCAGUUAUGGUUCUAUUGAACGUGAUGAAUUCUGUGCUCUUGGUAUUGGGCAUGUUGGUAAUGGAGCACACCUAAUAGAGGUGGGAAUGGGUCGGAGAAUGAUACACAAACUCAAGGAACAAAUAAUGAUAGUGAGGAGGAGACUGAUGGAGACACACCUAAUGAUAGCAGUAAUGGAGCAGGAGAGAAUAGUAGUGGAGGAGGAACCACUCUGUCAGCAAACACUACACCGCCUCAUGAUUUAGUCCAUGAGGUAGAAUCCCAUACUACUGAAAAACCAACAGUCAGAUCAUGUACUAAGUAAUUCUGAUGGAGCUAAAGCUAUUGUAUCCAGUGAACAGUGUCUAGCAAGGAAUGAUGAUAAAUCACUACAAUCUUCUACUGAUUAUUUUCAUUCAGACAAUAAUGCACCUUCUCAUGAUACAUUGUAUUCUGGAAUGAUGUACUACGAUAAGAAAGAAGCUGGUCAUUGGAAAGCAAUGUAUUCUGUUGUUAGAGAUUUGGAAGUUCUUAAAAGGCAUUUAGAAAGCAAGCACUCAUCAAGUAUUGAAUAUGAUGAUGUUGUUGACUCAUUUAAGUUUAUUCAACAAAAUGGAACUCUAGAAUUUGACACUACACAUCGUACAGCAGGUAGGAUGGACUGUUAAUCCUAUCAGAAAUCCAAUGAAAUUGUUUGAGUCAAGAGUUAACCAGUUUCCAUUAACUCCCUCAUAUGCAACCUGCAGUAUAUCAGUGUAUGCUGAAAUUGGUGUUGCUAAAAAGCCGCUUCACUGUCCCAUUAAACUAACUGGAAUAGAUCCUUCAAUGACAAUCUAUAUUGACCGGUGUCCUCCACCCACUCCAUCAAUCAUAGACAGUACUAGCUCAAGGUCUUCUACUGCUACUAUCAUUCAAACCAGGAGAGAGACUGAAGAAGGUACAUUUAGAUCUGAUAUUGCUCACAGAGUAAUGACAGAAUGUACUUCUCUAAUAAAAGAUUGUGGGACUGAUAUUCACUUCUUAGUUGAUAAAUUGCUUCAAUACAAAAUUGUAAAUGUUAGAGAAAAAAGAAGAAUAGUUGCACAAGAAAGUGACGCUGAAAGAAUGGAUGAAUUGCUUCUCAUCAUUUUGAGUUCCAUUUGUAUGGAUGGAAAAGUAUUUGGUAUAUUGUUAGAUAUACUCAGAGAGGAAGAUACUCUAAGAACAAUUAAACUAGCUAAUGAGUUAAUACAAAAAUAUGAUUUUCUUACAACAGACUAAAAAGUAUUUCUAAUAAUGUAUAUAUUUGAUUAAAAGUACUUCAAUUAUUGAAAUGACUAUA
rnacentral:misc_RNA from 1 species